UAGUCCACACCGUAAACGUUGAAUACUAGAUGUCGGGGACCUAUCGCCUCGGUGUCGUAGCUAACGCGUUAAGUAUUCCGCCUGGGUAGUACGGCCGCAAGGCUAAAACCCAAAGAAAUUGACGGGGACCCGCACAAGCGGUGGAUGAUGUUCUUUAAUUCGAUGCAACGCGAAGAACCUUACCUGGACUUGACAUCCUACGCUAUUCUGGGAAACCAGAAGUUCUCUUCGGAGACGUAGUGACAGGUGUUGCAUGGCUGUCGUCAGCUCGUGUCGUGAGAUGUUGGGUUAAGUCCCGCAACGAGCGCAACCCCCGCCGUUAGUUGCCAUCAUUUAGUUGGGCACUCUAACGGGACCGCUUGCUGAUAAGGCAGAGGAAGGUGGGGAUGACGUCAAGUCCGCAUGGCCCUUACGUCCAGGGCUAGAAACGUCAUACAAUGGGUAUUACAGAGCGUAGCAAUACCGCGAGGUGGAGCUAAUCGCAGAAGAAUACCCUCAGUUCGGAUUGGAGUCUGCAA
rnacentral:rRNA from 1 species